UACGGGGGGGGCAAGCGUUGUUCGGAAUUACUGGGCGUAAAGCGCCAGUAGGCGGCCAACUAAGUCCGACGUGAAAUCCCCAGGCUUAACCUGGGAACUGCGUCGGAUACUGGAUGGCUUGAAUUCGGGAGAGGGAUGCAGAAUUCCAGGUGUAGCGGUGAAAUGCGUAGAUAUCUGGAGGAACACCGGUGGCGAAGGCGGAUCUCUGGGCCUUACCUGACGCUCAGGUGCGAAAGCUAGGGGAGCGAACAGG
rnacentral:rRNA from 1 species